CCUGCUAGAAGACAAGCCCGCGGCUGAUUAGCUAGUUGGUGAGGUAAUGGCUCACCAAGGCAACGAUCAGUAGCCGGCCUGAGAGGGUGAACGGCCACACUGGGACUGAGACACGGCCCAGCCUCCUACGGGAGGCAGCAGUGGGGAAUAUUGCGCAAUGGGGGAAACCCUGACGCAGCAACGCCGCGUGAAUGAAGAAGGCCUUCGGGUUGUAAAGUUCUGUCAAUUGGGAAGAAACCUCCAAGGUAAAUAGCCUUGGAGAUGACGGUACCUAAAAAGGAAGCUCCGGCUAACUACGUGCCAGCAGCCGCGGUAAUACGUAGGGAGCAAGCGUUAUCCGGAAUUACUGGGCGUAAAGGGCGUGUAGGCGGCCAAUUAAGCUAGGUGUAAAAUGUUACAGCUCAACUGUAAACCCGCAUCUAGAACUGGUUGGCUAGAGGAUGAGAGAGGAAAGUGGAAUUCCUAGUGUAGCGGUGGAAUGCGUAGAUAUUAGGAGGAACACCAGUGGCGAAGGCGGCUUUCUGGCUCAUACCUGACGCUGAGGCGCGAAAGCGUGGGGAGCAAACAGGAUUAGAUACCCUGGUAGUCCACGCCGUAAACGAUGAGUACUAGGUGUAGGAGGCAACAGCCUUCUGUGCCGCAGCUAACGCAAUAAGUACUCCGCCUGGGGAGUACGCUCGCAAGAGUGAAACUCAAAAGGAAUUGACGGGGGCCCGCACAAGCGGUGGAGCAUGUGGGUUUAAUUCGACGCAACGCGAGGAACCCUUACCAAAAUCUUGACAUCGAUAGAAUCUGCUGGGAAAA
rnacentral:rRNA from 1 species